rnacentral:rRNA from 1 species
UACGGGGGGGGUAAGCGUUGUUUGGAAUUACUGGGCGUAAAGCGCUCGUAGGCGGCCAACUAAGUCAGACGUGAAAUCCCUCAGCUUAACUGGGGAACUGCGUCUGAUACUGGAUGGCUUGGAUUCGGGAGAGGAAUGCGGAAUUCGAGGUGUAGCGGUGAAAUGCGUAGAUAUCGAGAGGAACACCUGCGGCGAAGGCGGGUUGCUGGGCUGAUACUGACGCUGAGGCGCGAAAGCCAGGGGAGCGAACGGG